rnacentral:rRNA from 1 species
ACAUGGGAAAUAGAUGUAGGAGAGGUAAUUGAAAAGAUUCACUUAAUUACAAUAACUAUUGUAUGGAAGCUAAUAUUACGAUUAGACCAAGACAAGGGAUAAGGUUAAAAUAAUAACCGAUCUAAGCUAUAAAUAGCGAGUUUAAUAGGAAGUAUCUGAAUUGAAACAUCUUAGUAAGAUAUUUAAUAAACCAAAAGGGAAUAUCUUAGUACCGGUGAGGGAAAAGAUAUAAGUAUUAAAGUAAUAUCAUGUGAUAUGAAUAAAGUAGUGCUACUACUAAUACUAUAAAAUAAUCGUAAGUAUCAAGUACCGUGAGGGAAAGGCAUAUAAAUAUGAUUUAAUUAAUGUAAUCGUUCAUGGAAGACUUAAUUUAUUAAGUUAAAUUAGAAAUGUAUCGAAGAAAUUAUAUUAAAUUUGUAUAGAAAUACAUAGUUAAAGAGCAGCUAUAGUAUAGCGUACCUCUUGUAUAAUGGGUCAGUGAGUUAUUUUUAUUAGCGAAGUAUCAACUAAAUCUAACAAGAUAAAUUAAUAAUAGUUAAUAGGAAUAGACCCGAAAGUAUAUGAUCUAUACAUUGCCAGGUUAUAUAGUUAUAAUUAUAUUAUAAUGAUUAUAGACCUAACAGGUGGGUGUUGCAAUACCUUCUGAAGAGUAAUGUAUCGAUGUGAAAGGCUACUCUCAUAUACAGAUAGCUGGUUAUCUGUGAAAUAUAUCUUAGUAUAGCAAUUAGUAAACAUCACUAGGUAAAUCACUAGAUUUGAAACAAAAUGCGCCGCCCUUGUGGGGCGCAUUCAUUUUAUGGGAGCGAUUAUAGCUUAUCAUACGGAUCUAACAUCUGAACUAGAUGUAAUGGAAAUACUAAUUAGUCAAUCUAGGUGCGAUAAGGUACCUAGAUGAGAAGGGAAUAACCUAGACUACUAUGUGUAAGUCCUAAACAAGUAUGCUAAGUGGUAUUAAACCUAUAGUAAGUAAUUACGACAUUUUAUAAGACAAUUGAUCAGUGGAUAUGAUAGUAAUCAUCUGCUAAAGAACGUGUAACAACGCAUCAAUAGACAUAAGAUAAUAGGUGUAGAUAUACAGGCCUAAGCACUUGACUGAACAGUAGAUACUUAUUUAACCAUAAGUAUAGUAACAGAUUAUGUUAUAAAUAAUAAUAACAAAGAAUAUGCUGACUUGAGUAACGUUAGAAAGGUUAAGCCUUUCCUCUUAAAAUAUAUAAGGUUUUAUUAUAAAUUAACGGUCUCUAAUGUUGAUUAUGAAGAUAAUUAACAGAUGAGUAAUAUGACUAGAAAUUAGAUUAACCGUACUGUAAACCGACACUGGUAUAUAAAUUUAUAUCUUUAAUAUAAGAUUAAAUUAAAAGAGUAUGAGCGAAGCCAUAUGAAUGAACUCGGCAAUAAGGAUAUAACUCCUUUAAUAUAGUGCGACUGUUUACCAAAAACAUAGCCUAUUGCAGUUCUGUGAAGAAUAGUAUAAUAGGUGCUACCUGCCCAGUGUUAGAGAGAUAAUACAUAAUGCUUUAAUCAACGGCGGUCUUAUCAUGAGGAUCCGAAGGUAGCGAAAUUCCUAGACGUUUAAUUGGCGUCCUGCAUGAAUGAGUACACGAUGCUAUAGAUGUAUCCAUAUGGUCCUCAGUGAAAUAGUAAUUGCAGUGAAGAUACUGUAUAGCAAUAGAUUGACGAGAAGACCCUAUACAGCUUUACUAUAGAGUUGCCCUGCUAUCUAAUUAUAUCUUAUAAAUUAUUUUAUUUAAUAGAUUAAUUCAAUAGCUAAUCUUUUUAUAUAAAGAAACAAGGUAACUUGGUUAGUUUCGAUGGGGCGUCGACAUCACAAAGAAUAACUGAUGUGUCUAUAUGACCAGGUUGUAAAUUAACUCUUAUUAAGGGUUAUACUAGAUUGAAUAGAUACAGUAAUACUAAAUGGUAAUUAGUAAUUCAUAAUCUAUAAUAAGCCGCCGCCCGCCUUCGGCGGGCGGCAGUAGAUAUGAAAGGAUAAGGAUAAUAACUUAACUGUGUUAUGAUAAAAUUACUAACAGGUAGUUUUAGUACGUAAGUAGUGUAUAGUGAACAGACAAUAACUAUAGCAAAGUAUGUCGAUAGCGAAUCAAAGUUACGUUAGGGAUAACAGGGUAAUACCGCUAGAGAGUUGAUAUCGUCAGCGGUGUUUGCCACCUCGAUGUCGUCUAGGCUCAUCCUUAUGGUCGCAGCAACUAUAAAGGGUAUGACUGUUCGUCAUUUAAGGAGCUACUUGAGAUGGGUUAAUUACGGCGUGAGCCAGUAAUGUUUCUAUCAUCUAUUGCAUUUUAAUAAAAACUAAGUUACAUGUGUACGAGAGGAUUAUGUAACCUAAACCAAUGGUGAUAACUCUUUAUUAUUAUCUAUUUUAUUCCUUUAUAAGAAUAAUCUUAAUUUAAUAACCCUUUUAUAAAGGUUGAGAUAAAUUGUUAUAAGCUAAGUCUAGUUGCAAUAAGUAUUGACAGCAUAUCAAAUACUAAGUCAAUAGUUUUUAUUUAACAAACAUUAAAGAUAAUAAUGUUUUAGUAUUCCUAAAUUAUUCAAAGGUGCUCUUUGGCAUCUUUCAGGAGAUAUAGGUAUCAAUUCUUUGAUUAUAAUACUAAUAUACAAGUACAUUUAGUACUUA